GACGUAGGGUCCGAGCGUUAUCCGGAUUCACUGGGUUUAAAGGGUGCGUAGGCGGGCAGGUAAGUCAGUGGUGAAAUCCUUGAGCUUAACUCGAGAACUGCCAUUGAUACUAUCUGUCUUGAAUAUUGUGGAGGUAAGCGGAAUAUGUCAUGUAGCGGUGAAAUGCUUAGAUAUGACAUAGAACACCUAUUGCGAAGGCAGCUUACUACGCAUAUAUUGACGCUGAGGCACGAAAGCGUGGGGAUCAAACAGG
rnacentral:rRNA from 1 species